UACAGAGGGGGCAAGCGUUGUUCGGAAUUACUGGGCGUAAAGGGCGCGUAGGCGGCCUGCUAAGUCGAACGUGAAAUCCCCGGGCUCAACCCGGGAACUGCGUCCGAUACUGGCAGGCUUGAAUCCGGGAGAGGGAUGUGGAAUUCCUGGUGUAGCGGUGAAAUGCGCAGAUAUCAGGAGGAACACCGGUGGCGAAGGCGGGUCUCUGGGCAACUACUGACGCUGAGGAGCGAAAGCGUGGGGAGCGAACAGG
rnacentral:rRNA from 1 species